UCUUUUACUCAGCCUUCUUUUCUCUCUUCUAUUUUCUGAAAACCCUAAGAGGCUGCGUGAGGCGCCUCUCUCUCUCUCUCUCGACCUACCUCAUCUUCAAUUCGACCUCGGAUCUUUCAGUGAAAACAUCAGCAUCGGCGCGCCGCUCUUUUAUCGACCUCUCGUCUGCUAGGCACGCACAGCACAUACCUGAUCAAUUCUAAUCAUUGCACUCUUGAGGCAGCCGCCACAACCACCUCCCUGGCCGAAGUUGUUUAGCAUCUCAGCUGUUGAGCUUCGAAAGUUGGGAAAAUUUUGCUUAAAUUGAGGAACCUGCUUCUAAUGAGGCUCAAAUGCAUGGGGUUGAUGAAUCUGU